UGACCAAUUGUGAUUUUGCUUAAUCUAUCUUCAAAAUUGCAGUAAAUUUCCAUGCCGUGUCAGUUUUCUCUAUAUAUUAUGUCGAAAUAAUGUGCUAAACUGCUGUGAACUUCAAUGCAUUCUACUCUGUAGGUCAGAAAAGUAAGUGUGUGUGUGUACAUGGACGUGUGCACGUGCGCACACGUAGAGCUUCAGUAAACCUAAACACUCAGGCACAUGUGCUUUCAUGUGUGCGUGUGGCACACAUAGGCAGGUGUGGUAGACUGAAGAUGUGUAUGCAGUAUGCACACAAGGCAAGCAUGUUUGCAUGUGUGGGGGUAGUAAUGGGCCAUGGCCCUAGUGGCCUCUUCAAAGCCCAACAUGACCCCUAAAUUUUUUAGCUCAAAAUUGUAUAAGAUUAGAGCCCAGCCCUUAGAUUUUCUAGGCCUGUGAGUGGUAGGCUGAAGUUGUGUGUGUGUUUGUUUGUGUUUGUGUUUGUUUGUGUCUCUAUGUAUUAUAAGCCUGAAUGCAUUAUAGUACAUUUAAGUUGUGGGUGUGACACUGAAAUUUUGUGUGUGGCACACAAGCACAUAUGUUUGCAUUAGACUCAAGUUAUUUCUUUGUCC